UUUCUGGUUGAUCCUGCCGGAGGCCACUGCUAUUGGGGUUCGGCUAAGCCAUGCGAGUGGAGGGCGUCCCGCAAGGGAUGGCCCCGCAGACGGCUCAGUAACACGUCGUUAACCUACCCUGGGGUGGGGGACAACCUCGGGAAACUGAGGAUAAUCCCCCAUAGGUGGGGGAGGCUGGAAUGCGCCCCCGCUGAAAGCUCAGGCGCCCCAGGACGGGGCGGCGGCCUAUCAGGUAGUUGGUGGUGUAACGGACCACCAAGCCUACGACGGGUACGGGCUGUGAGAGCAGGAGCCCGGAGAUGGGGACUGAGACAAGGCCCCAGGCCCUACGGGGCGCAGCAGGCGCGAAAACUCCGCAAUGCGCGCAAGCGUGACGGGGGAACCCCGAGUGCCGCUGAUCUUUGAUCGGCGGCUUUUCGGGAGUGCAGGGAGCUCCCGGAAUAAGGGCUGGGUAAGACUGGUGCCAGCCGCCGCGGUAAUACCAGCAGCCCAAGUGGUGGUCGCGUUUAUUGGGCCUAAAGCGCUCGUAGCCUGGCCGGUAAGUUCCCCGUGAAAUCGGGUCGCUCAACGAUUCGGCUUGCGGGGAAUACUGUCGGUCUUGGGGCCGGGAGACGCCGAGGGUAUUCCGGGGGUAGCGGUGAAAUGUUGUAAUCCCCGGAGGACUACCAGUGGCGAAGGCACUCGGCGAGAACGGGCCCGACUGUGAGGGGCGAAAGCUGGGGGAGCGAACGGGAUUAGAUACCCCGGUAGUCCCAGCCGUAAAGGAUGCGGGCAAGGUGCUUGUCGCUCUUCGAGGGCGCCAGGUGCCGUAGAGAAGUCGUUAAGCCCGCCGCCUGGGAAAGUACGGUCGCAAGGCUGAAACUUAAAGAAAUUGGCGGGGGAGCACCACAAGGGGUGGAGCCUGCGGUUCAAUUGGAUUCAACGCCGGACAACUCACCAGAGUCUUCGGCUGGAUGAGGGGCCAGUCUAAAGGGCUUGCCCGACUAGCCGAUAGGUGGUGCAUGGCCAUCGCCAGCUCGUACCGUGAGGCGUCCUGUCAAGUCAGGCAACGAGCGAGACUCUCGCCCUUAGUUGCCAUCGGCGGGAAGCCGGGCACUCUAGGGGGACCGCUGCCGCUAAGGCAGAGGAAGGAGAGGGCGACGGUAGGUCCGUAUGCCCCCAAUACUCUGGGUUACACGCGGGCUACAAUGGUCGGGACAAUGGGAUGCAACCCCGAAAGGGGAAGCCAAGCCCCUAAACCCGAUCUUAGUCCGGAUCGAGGGCUGAAACUCGCCCUCGUGAAGGUGGAAUCCCUAGUAAUCGCGCGCCACUACCGCGCGGUGAAUAUGUCCCUGCUCCUUGCACACACCGCCCGUCAAGCCACUCGAGUGGGGUCUAGAUGAGGUGGGCUCAAGUUGGGCCCCUCGAAUCUAGGUUCUGCAAGAGGGGCUAAGUCGUAACAAGGUAACC
rnacentral:rRNA from 1 species